rnacentral:rRNA from 1 species
AUGUAUGUCCGCUACAGAGGAGCUGCUCGGCAUGCAUAUGUGUGCCUGAAGCUAGCUCAUCAGGCGCACGUAAGGUCUAUGCACAUACACGUGCGUGACCAUCUUCAGGAGCCAGCCCGGAGGAGGCGUGCCCAUAGGGUGGCAGCGUCGACAAGAUCGGGAGGACGCGCUCGCGGUGGCGCCACGCCAGAUGUGGAGCUGACUGCGUCCCCGCCGGUGACGGCCACUGACGCAGCACGCACGAGAGCCAGCGAGGAGCAAGCGCCCAGAGGAGAUGCACCGUGGCGGUGGCGUCCAGAACACGGCGAGGCCAGCAAGGAGGAGACUUGCCUGCCCCGGCUGUGUCGAGGAGAUCCCAUCUGA